rnacentral:rRNA from 1 species
AUAUCAAUAAGCGGAGGAAAAGAAACCAACUGGGAUUGCCCUAGUAACGGCGAGUGAAGCGGCAACAGCUCAAAUUUGAAAUCUGGCUCCCUUCGGAGGGUCCGAGUUGUAAUUUGCAGAGGGUGCUUUGGCUUUGGUUGCGGUCUAAGUUCCUUGGAACAGGACAUCACAGAGGGUGAGAAUCCCGUACGUGGUCGCGUACCAUCGCUGUGUAAAGCCCCUUCGACGAGUCGAGUUGUUUGGGAAUGCAGCUCUAAAUGGGAGGUAAAUUCCUUCUAAAGCUAAAUACCGGCCAGAGACCGAUAGCGCACAAGUA